rnacentral:rRNA from 1 species
UGGCUACGAGGACGAACGCUGGCGGCGUGCCUAACACAUGCAAGUCGAACGAGGUCCAUCCUUCGGGAGAAGACCUAGUGGCGAACGGGUGAGUAACACGUGAAGAACCUGCCCCGAAGACCGGGAUAACCCUCCGAAAGGAGAGCUAAUACCGGAUACCCCCACCGAACCGCAUGGUUUGGUGAGGAAAUGGAUUCCGCUUCGGGAGGGCUUCGCGGCCUAUCAGCUAGUUGGUGGGGUAACGGCCCACCAAGGCAUCGACGGGUAGCUGGUCUGAGAGGACGAUCAGCCACACUGGGACUGAGACACGGCCCAGACUCCUACGGGAGGCAGCAGGUGGGGAAUCUUGCGCAAUGGGGACGAAAGCCUGACGCAGCAACGCCGCGUGGGGAUGAAGGCUCUCGGGUUGUAAACCCCUUUCAGCAGGGACGAAUCAAGACGGUACCUGCAGAAGAAGCCCCGGCUAACUACGUG